UUUUUCUCCUUGGAGCAGAAAGACCUAGCGAGUGCAUUAAAGUUUUAUAUCUGUUCUCGAAGUUAUUUAUUUAGUAUAGCUAUGGGUUUUUUUACGUAUUUUUUUGUUAUAAGUACAUUUAUAAUUAUUUGUGUCGUGUAUUUAAUAUUGUGUUGGUAUAUCAUAUGGCAAUUAUGUCUUUCCCGGCAGACGUUCCUGCGAGAGGUGUUUAAAGGAGAUGAGCAUGAAAAGGGAAAAAGUUCAGAAUCAAUGCCAAAAACAUGGAAAAGACUAUAAAUGGCAUUUAGAUCCAAUAAUUGUGAGGCAUAUGUGUUCAUAUUUGUAUGCUGUGUAUAUACUGCUGUUUUUCAAGUGCCAUUGUAUCAAGUGUGCCUUACCUCAGUUUUAAAAGAAUUUUGAAGAGGAGGAAAAAUAUAUGUAUAUAUAUAUAUGUGUGUGUGUGAUUUAAGAAUACAGAAGAAUAUUUCAACAUGUAUCUGUGUACUGAAAAUGAUGUUUUUGUUAUAAUCGUAACUACAAGUUUGAAUCUUUCAAGUGAGAUGUUUAUCUAAGAGAUGAACUGUAAAGUGAAUUAUCAUGUUAUCUCUCCAUUUCAUUUAAGUAAAAAGAAUCAUACUUGGCAGUAUGUUUAAGAAAUUAAAUUUCUUAUAUAUAUAUCUUGCCAAGGAAUUUUGCAAUUCCUUCCUACAUUAAAAUGCAAUUUUAUGUUAAAAAGUUUGCAUGGCUAUGAAUUGUAAAAUUUACAUAUGUUUUCCAAACAGUUCUAUUAUACACAAACUGGAAGUAUUAGAAAAUGAAGAAUAAAAAAAUAACUUGUUUCUGAAGAAUAUAGUUAUUCUUUGCCUGUAAUAUAAAUAUUUUACAAGAAUUCUCAUGCUGGUCUAAAAUGUUAGUUGUUAAUGUCAGUAAAUAAAUGUAAUUAUCUUGUUGUAUAUUACCAGUAUUCGCAGUUAUUCAUGUAAAGAUAUAGCAUGCCUUGCUUUCUUCCUCAUAAAUCAUCAAUAUACUUAUGAACUUCUUGUAAUAUUUUUCAUAUAUUCUCAUAGUUUUUCAUUUUUAUACUAAAUUGAUUGUUCUUACAAUUCUAUACUUUAUAUAUAAAAAUAAAUUAUUAAAAUCAUUUAUAGUUAAAAAGUAUGAUCUUAUUGAACGGCCACAGCUGUAUAUUAAUAAGUUCUGAAGAAGUUAGUAAAUUUUUUU